rnacentral:rRNA from 1 species
GACGAAAGGGGGCUAGCGUUGUUUCGGAAUUACUGGGCGGUAAAGCGAUGUGUUAGGCGGUUGGGUAAGUCUGGUGUGAAAUCUCCCGGCUCAACUGGGGAGGGUGACGCCGGAAACUUGCCUGGCUAGAGUGACGGAAGAAGGAGAGUGGAACUUCCAUGGUGGUAGCGGUAGUAAAUGCGUGAGAAUAUCUGGAGGAACACCGGUG